rnacentral:rRNA from 1 species
CAGUAGCCGCGGGAAUACGAAGGGUGCAAGCGUUAAUCGGAAUUACUGGGCGUAAAGCGUGCGCAGGCGGUUGUGUAAGACAGGUGUGAAAUCCUCGGGCUUAACCUGGGAACUGCGCUUGUGACUGCACAGCUAGAGUAUGGCAGAGGGGGGUGGAAUUCCACGUGUAGCAGUGAAAUGCGUAGAUAUGCGGAGGAACACCGAUGGCGAAGGCAGCCCCCUGGGCCAACACUGACGCUCAUGCACGAAAGCGUGGGGAGCAAACAGGAUUAGAUACCCCUGUAGUCCCUGUCUCUUAUAC